AACAGUGGCCAGGAGAUUAUGAGUGACGUGCUCAAACAGUGAAAGUAGGCUGCCCUGGCUCUCAACAUGCUCUGGCAUGAGGGCCAUGAUUUGCCUGCCAGAUUGUUAAUGUGUGUGUCUGCAUGUCUGGCCAAGGGCCUGAGUUCACUCUGAUGCAGGAGGGGAUUGCUUAGAGAACCUGAGAGGUUUAAAAUCAGAUUGAAGAGGAUAAAAACACCAGUGCUUUGGUACUAUGGGUCACAGGUCAGCAUACAGCACAAUUGAUUUUAAAUGUGAUGAACAUGCAGACUGUCAGCUUUUAUUUUAAAGACGUGAUGGAGAACUUGCAUAUGCUUUGGUGGAAGAGUGGAGGAACAUCUCACAGCAAGAACUGACAAAUUUGGUGCAGUGCAUGAGGAUGAGAUGCACUGUAGUACUUAAAGCAGCUGGAGGCUACCACAUACUGACUGUUACUUUUAAAAUUGCCCCCCCCUUUGUUCAUGGACUCAUUAUUCCAUUUCUGUUUAUCAAAUGUCUGUUAAAAUUCUUCAGUUUAUGUCUUAGUUGUUGAAAGUUUUUAUGUUAAUACAAAUAUUUACACAUGUUAAGAAACUUGCUGGAAAUAAAAGCAGUGGAAGGGGAGAUGUUUCCUUUUUUUGCUGACUAUACUUUAUAUUUGAAUUCUAUAAGAUUCAUGUAUAA